rnacentral:lncRNA from 1 species
GUCCUCGAGGAGUCUCUCGGGUUCCUCCGUUUUGAUCACACCUUCUCGGAUGGCCGCCGAGCUUUUGCCUUCCCCGCCCUGCAUCGCGUCCCUCAUGACCUCUUCCGCCUCCAGCUUGCCCUUCUCGUUCCCUCGGAAGUAGUCGAGGGCCGGCCCGAGGCCUUCCAACUUGACCGCCCUGGAGGCUCUACGACCGGUCUCCACGGCCCCCCGAGGCCUCACCGAUGCGUCCAGGCAAGCCCCUAGCUCCUACUUCUUGGCCUUGACGUGCAGCGCCCGGGGCUGCACCGGGUGUAACUCGGGCCUACAGGGGGCGCCCUCGGAAGAGGCGGGCGGCAGCAGGAGCCGCAGGUCGGGCCUGAACUGCCGCUGGGAGAGGAAGCGGCGCCCUUGCCAGGAACGUGGGGCUGUGGUAGCAGCAACACCUGCUCCAGCUUCACCUCCAGCAGCUGCUGCGCCGCACACGGCACCAAACCCUCCCUACACGAGGAGGCCACGGUCGCAAUGGCGGCCGCGCACAGCAUGGGCGGCGACGGAGGGGUCUUCACGGCCGCUGCCCAAAAGGAGGUGCCCUCGACCGGCAGCAGGGACGGAGCGGGACUCAAAGGGUGCGGCUGAGGCGGCGGCUCCAGCCUAGCUCUCUCCAUGGAGGUUGGGGGACGCCCCGGCCCGGAUUGUGAGCUCAGCCGUUUGUUGGCGACCUUCCCCCUCCCCCUUUCGGUUAAGAUCCUUGCAAGGCCUUUGCUACCCAGAACCCUACGUGGUUCAAAACGCAGCUCUAUGUCUCGGCGUCACCCAAUCACAAGCGACCGAUACCCCCAUCCGGGCUAAUCACAGGCGGGUUUUGUGGCUCUUCCCAGCCCAUGCUCUCGCCUCUCGCCUCGUGCUGAGUCCUCAAAUCACCCGUGAUGGCGGGAGCCUCGAGACGGGUUGCCAGUUUUCGCUCUGACUUUCCCUCUCUUGUGGCGUUCUCUCCCUGCCGUUGUCUUUAGUCAUCCUUUCCCCGCAGGGAGCUGUGACAAUGGCGUUGUCCAAGAAACGUUGUGCUUCCAGUCCGCUGACCUCCAGGGAAUAAAGUCUUGGGUCUCAAGACUCGCACGGCCUUGUGCACGGGCUUUGUGCGGCCUGAGUAAUCUGUCGGCCCUGAGUAUCACCAGGGCUUUUGAAUCUUUGCCAAGGGAGCAUGGGGAAGGUUUUGCAACUUAUCAAUAACCCAUUAGCUGAUCUUGCUGGGAAGAGUCUUCGACUUUGUGCGGUUCUUGUGCUAGUUAAGGUUUCAAUUAAUCGCCAGGCCCUGUGGCCCUACUUCCAAAAUAUUAUACAUCCCAAAUUCAUCCACUCCUUUGGGUCUCUACUGCCAUUACCCUGUUCCAGGCUCCCACCAUCAUUCACCUGGAUACUACCGAGGCCCUGUAAAUAAUCUCCCUGUUUGUCAGCCUUGCCCCACUACACUCCAGCUAUCUUUUGAAAAUACAAAUCUAAGGUUGUCACACUUUUCCUAAAGCUUUCUUUCCAUGGCUGCCCACUGAUGUGAGAAAAGUCUAAAAUCCUUGGCAAAGCCUUAAAAUCCCCAAAUGGCUUGGGAUCUAACCUACUACUACUACUACUACUGCUGCUAGGUUGGUGCAAACAUAAUUGUGGUUUUUGCCAUUAAACAGUUACCACUCU